GAUGAACGCUGGCGGCGUGCCUAAUACAUGCAAGUCGAGCGAACAGACGAGGAGCUUGCUCCUCUGACGUUAGCGGCGGACGGGUGAGUAACACGUGGAUAACCUACCUAUAAGACUGGGAUAACUUCGGGAAACCGGAGCUAAUACCGGAUAAUAUAUUAAACCGCAUGGUUCAAUAGUGAAACACGGUUUUGCUGUCACUUAUAGCUGGAUCCGCGCCGCAUUAGCUAGUUGGUAAGGUAACGGCUUACCAAGGCAACGAUGCGUAGCCGACCUGAGAGGGUGAUCGGCCACACUGGAACUGAGACACGGUCCAGACUCCUACGGGAGGCAGCAGUAGGGAAUCUUCCGCAAUGGGCGAAAGCCUGACGGAGCAACGCCGCGUGAGUGAUGACGGUCUUCGGAUCGUAAAACUCUGUUAUUAGGGAAGAACAAAUGUGUAAGUAACUAUGCACGUCUUGACGGUACCUAAUCAGAAAGCCACGGCUAACUCCGUG
rnacentral:rRNA from 1 species